UUUAAAUUGAAGUUAUCAAAUAUAACGAUUUGAAUUACGUAUCCAUAACAUGAGUAAAGAUUCAUUUAACAUGACUUGACUUUAAUUAUCGACAAUUAAAGAUUGAGAUAAUAAAACAACAAAUAGAAUUAUGUAAUUACAUGUGAUUCGAAAGCAGCAGAAUUUAAAAAGUUUCCUGGAAUUAAUUCUAUUCAGAUUCGAUGUUAUUAUAGAAUUAUAUUAUAUACCAAAAGAUUAAAGAGAUUCGAUAAACUGUUAUAAUCCUCUGAGGUUAUAAUCGUCACAAGCAAGUAGGACUAGAAAAAACACUCGGAAUCUCGCAAACAAAGCGUUUGCAGGCCCAUGUUUAUGGGGACUUCGUUUUCUUAAAAUUAUCCAAGGAAUCUCACUUUUCCUUUGUACCUCCGAUUUAGGAAUACCUGUAUAUAGCGCUAUCAACGGAAUAAAAAGGAAAUAAUAUUGAAUUUAUAACGGCUAAUCAAAUAGCGAGAGGGAUGGAGAUCCAGCACCGAACACAUAAGAGUGAGACAGAGUAAUCGGCAUCAACUGAUGAAUUUCCCAAAAAUAACAUAUGUGAUUUUUCUAGGUUGAGCGUUUUAAUAGAUAAGUAAGAAAUGCCACAAUUAACUAAUAGAUGCUUCACUCUCAGUUUUACAAAGGAAAUCGCUGCAAAUAAUAUUAUGAACUUGAUUCUGACCUACUCAUAUUUAUGAGUGAAUCGGGUGCGCAAAUCAGAUUACAGGAUCGAUUAUUACGACCAAUCACAGAAAUAGUUCCAUAUCAACCGUGAAUUUGAAGGUCGCAGAGGUUAUGUUAUUAUUUAAAAUGACAUGGAUAUUAAAAUAUUAUGAAUAAUUUUAUGUUCCACUUCUUUUUUGCUUGAUUUAAGUAUUUGGAUGUAAAAUUGAUGCUUUCUUUGUAUUUUAAAAGAUAAGAGUUAUCCCAACUGUCAAUUGAAUCUGUGUAUCAGGAAAUUAAGGAUUAAACAAAUGGUGUAACAGAGCAUAAUCUUUGAGAUUUACCAUUAGCAUCUUCUACCAUUCCAAAUCUUCAGGAACUCCACCCGGAUAGAUUCCGGUUAGACAGGCAGUGCAAUGACCUUUUUUCUUAUUUGGAUUAUUUCUUUGAGCAGCUGACAAAAGACCUUCCACACUAAGGUAUUCCAAACUAUCUGCAUCUUUAAAAAAAAACAUAAAAUAAAUUGUUAUAUAACAUUUUAAAACAUAAUUCAAGAAAAAAUUAUACUAUUCUUCAAAAUAAUACUCUCAUUCCAAACCAAUAAGUUUCUUUUAUCAUAAGAAUAUCAUAAGAAAAGGAAUGUUGUAAUUUUGGGAAGUGUGAUUGAAAGAGGGUUAUGUUUUUAAGUUAUGUAUGUGAGGGGUUCUAAGAAAAAAAAAAGCUAUUCUAUUUCUUAUAGACAUUUUUACAGAGUUUACGUUUGAAGGAAAAAAAAGUUUGUAUUAUAACUUCAAAAUUAAUGGCAAUAAAAAAAACAUAAUUACACCAAUGUAUUCGACAGAAAAAAGGGCCUAUAAAUGUUUUUGUUUCAUGUUUAUAUCUCCAGUGUUGGAGAUACUCUAUGACUGGUGACGGGAAGGAAAUUCUGUUUCUAAGAGAAGACCCGAUAUGAAAUAUUUUUGAAAUUGUCAUUUCUGUUUUAUAUUCGAAUGAUAAAGUUUAACUGAACUAAUUCAGUGUUUCACGUGCCUGAGCCUGAAGAAACAUUGCUAACACCAGUAAUAAAAAUAUGAGAACUUUUCAAUUCACGCGAUUUUCCAAUUUUAUCUUAUAGCUUGAAAACAGUUGCAGUUUUCACUAAAUUAAUUAUCUCAAAAAUCAAAAGUGUGUCUUUUAUUUCAUUCUAGCUUAAAAGGAUUCUGAGAACCCCUCACUAGACAACGAAUUUGGAACACCUGAUACAUUGAGCUAUUUAGAACGUAGAAAAUGUAUUCUAUGCUCCACCAGACUGUUGCCUUUAUCUCAUUACCUGUAAUUAAGUGUAUUUUUUUUGAGCAGAGAUAAUUGGUUGGUCAGUUACCUACUUCUGAAUAAACUUUCUUUCUCUGUUAAAUUUCUAUGACAACUCAAAAACAUUAAGUACCCUUAAGUUAUUCUUCUAAGACAUUACAAAAAAUUUAAUAGUCCAUUCGACUGGCUGCACCAGUGCGAAUUAAUUCACAUUGGUGCAGCCAGUCGAAUACGAUAUAAAAUUUAAAAAUACUAAUUUCAUAUUCAAUUUGAAAGAAAUUAUAAUACAACUCACCAACUUUUUUAGCAAUUUCAUGUAAUUUCAGUUUAUUAGCAAUCAGCUCAUCACUGGUUGGUAUGUUGAUUCCCAUAUAACAAGGAUGUUUAAUAGGAGGACUAGCAACACGAAUGUGAACUUCUGUUGCACCUGCCCUCCUGAGUAACUUUAUUAUAGGACUCAUGGUAUUUCCUCUGACAAUUGAAUCGUCGAUGAGAAUUAUCCUUUUUCCUUUGAUAUUCGAGGAUAUUGCACCUAGGAAUAAGAAAACUGAGUUUGAAUUACUUUAUCAAAUGAUUAUUAUUAACUGAUAUUUUAUAUUUUCAGAAAUCCUAUAUAUUAAAACAAUUAUUGGAAUUACAGGUGUGCCAUCAUCAAAAGAUAUAAAAGAUUUGAUAAAUGAAUUGAGUUCUUGAUAUUGAUUCAGAUAAUUUUAGAUAACCAAAAAGAAUUGAAAAAUAAACUUAAAAGAAUCACAUCGAUAAAUUGGCCAAAGAAAAUAAAAAAAUAUUAUAAUUAUAAAAUAAAAACAUUGAAAUUCACCAUAAAUGAUAACAAUUUAUUAAGAAGUAGCAAACAUUUAUUAACAAUACAUAUUUAUCAACAUUUACAAUACUCACUGAAUUUUAAGGCAACAUUUACUUGUCUCAUCUUGUUACAAGGCUGAAUAAAUGUUCUUCCUACAUAAUUAUUUUUAGCUAAAAGUUCUCUGAAUGGAAUUCCGGUCUGAAAUGUAUUCAUUUGAGAUAAAUAUCUUACAUACUAUAAAAUUAUUUAAGUAAAUAUUAUUUUUUUUAUGGAAAAUGCAUUUACAUUGCCUUUCAUAUAAUUUUAGAAUAAAUUUCUUCACAUCAAGGUAAAACUGUUUGAGGUCUGAAAUAAUUGAUUAAAAAAAUUCUAUAAUUCUGACCUGCUGAGAAUAGCCAUGUGCAGCUGCAUUUCCUGAUUCUGGAACAGAGCCAACCACAUCGGCAGCCACCGGUGACUCUAUUGCUAACUGUUUUCCGCAUUCCAUUCUGACUUCAUACACCUCCUGGCCUUCGAAAAUGCUGUUCGGUUUGGCAAAAUAAACAUAUUCGAAAAUGCAGAA